rnacentral:tRNA from 1 species
UGGCUAAGUGGUAAAGCGCUCGGCUUCCAAACCAGGGGUUCCAGGUUCGAAUCCUGU